rnacentral:lncRNA from 1 species
UGAAUCACCCAUAUGUGUGUAAAACAUGUAAGCAUAUAGGUGGUUCCCCUUUUAAAAAAAUGGCCAAGCAGGUAGAAAAAGUAAGCGCUGACAUCAGCAGACUGAGGCUUCUGUCCACGCUCGCGCUAUUGCAGACUCGCAGUUUUAUUUAUGAGUACACUGUUGCUGUCUUCAGACACUCCAGAAGAGGGCAUCGGAUCCAGUUACAGGUGGUUGUGAGCCACCAUGUGGUUGCUGAGAAUUGAACUCAGGACCUCUGAAAGAGCAGCCAGUGCUCUUAAGUGCUGAGCUAUCUCUCCAGCCCAGCUGGGGCCAUCUUAACUUCAGCGGUAGAAUCCCAGCCCAGAUGAGUACUGGUGGGAGAGAGGCCAGAUUAUGGAAGGGAAAAAUGGUGGAGGUGACCUUGGAAAUAGCUUGAUCCAGGGCCCCCAAGUUCAGCCAUCUUUUUACAGGCUUUGCACGUCAGCCUCAUCCCUCAGGCGGUUCUCUCCUUGGAAGAGAGUGACUGCUGAGAAUUCCAGACCCUGGUCUUUGUAGCUUCACCCUUCUGGGACCAGGAAACAUGCAGAAGCGUCGCUCAGGAAGGUGGGGCAGAUAAGAGACCUGCAGCUUCCCUCUGGGUCUCUUGGGAUGGUGAGGAGCACAAACAGAGGUGGGCAUGAAAGCAGCUACAGGGAGCCAGGCAGCUAUCCUUUUUCUGUCUUGAAGCCUCCUUGAGGUCACUCUUGGAGCUGGGGAGCUGGCCCAGUAGGAAGAUGGCUCACUGCUGCACAAGCCUGAGGACCUGAGGUUGCACUUCCCACUCACAUGUAAGAGGAGGCCAGGCCAGGUGACAAAACUGAUAGUCCGGAGUCAGGGAGGUUUUCUGUUUCAAAAACUGAGGCGGAGACCAACAGAGGAAGGCUCCUGCCAUUGCUUGGCUUCUGGGACACACAGGUACAGACACACAGUGCAUACAGUCCCUAUCACAUGUGUCAGGAAAUAGGAAGGAAAUUUUUAGCUUCUCUACUUAGAAUAUUCAACUAUUUUUAUCAUCCUGGGAUAUAAAAGAACUUGCCAUCCUUGGCACUAAAUCUAGACAACAUG